GUUUUGUUAGGUUGGAAUAUA
ensembl:piRNA 21ur-13678 ncRNA